rnacentral:rRNA from 1 species
UACGGGGGGGGCAAGCGUUGUUCGGAAUUACUGGGCGUAAAGGGCUCGUAGGCGGCCAACUAAGUCAGACGUGAAAUCCCUCGGCUUAACCGGGGAACUGCGUCUGAUACUGGAUGGCUUGAAUCCGGGAGAGGUGAGUGGAAUUCCGAGUGUAGAGGUGAAAUUCGUAGAUAUUCGGAAGAACACCAGUGGCGAAGGCGGCUCACUGGACUGGUAUUGACGCUGAGGUGCGAAAGCGUGGGGAGCAAACAGG